UUGCUUUGGCAGCACAUAUACUAAAAUUGGAAUGAUACAGAGAAGAUUAGCAUGGCCCCUGAGCAAGGGUGACAUGCAAAUUUGUGACGAGUUCCACUAUUUU
rnacentral:snRNA from 1 species